UCAAAUUUUACUAUACAAUCGACACUGUCAAUAUAUUUUGAUAAAAUAUUAGCUGAUAGGUCACACAGUGCCAUUCAAAUCUACAAAUCUUAUACCCAUACUCUUUUUUUUCUAAAUUGAUUAUCAUAGACUAUAAUUAUUCAAAACCGGCACAAAAAUGGUAAUGCAGUAAAUGUUUCCAAGAUUUUAUACAAUAACAUUGUAAACUAGCAUGAUAAACUAUCUAUUAAACAAAGCAUCAACUGGUUAUAUUACUCUAUCCAAAUUGUUGAAAAUCUUAAAUGCAUAUAUUUGAAUAAUGUUAUUCAGUUUUAUAACGUGUGUGGAAUUGAAACACUGACAUUUUAUGGAAACGCGUGGCUUUGAUAACCAUCGGUCGGGUAAAUAACCGAGUGUAAAAGUGUAUCUUGGAGUGGGUAGGUACUGGGCCUAUAGAACUCAUGUAAUUCCUCACCAACUAUUAACAAGCAUAUUAGACAUAGUCCGUUCUAAUAUUCAUUCGUAAUAUAGGUACCUACAAUUACGCGUCAAACAGUACUACUGUUCUAAUACUAUUGAAAAUUAAUUUGUAAAGGUAUGCGAUUAAGAAAUAUAUUUAUUUAUCUUCAAAUGGAUAAGUCUAGUUACAAACGCCCAAUGAUCAGAGACGUAAAGAAAUUUUGAAAAAAGAAUAUCAAGAAUUAUGAUAAAUAUGAAGCUUGAUAGUACAAAUAGAAGAAACUUCGUAUUUUUACAAGAUUUCAAUGGCGAAUAUACAAAUACUUCAGUCUUUGACAUUUUUGUAAGUUAACAGGACAGAUAUUUUAUACCUAUAUUAUUAUUUAUUAGAAUACAUUUGAAAGUAAAGAUUAAUCAUAACAUUUGCAAAUUAACUUGGAGCAAAGCUUGAUAAGCUAAAUAUCGGCCAGCGGAAGAAACCAGUUUUGCAAUGUCCAUUAGAGAAAAAAAACCGGCUAGCAGAACGAAAGGUGUUGCUGUAAUUGGGGAUAGAACAGUUUCUGCACAAGACCUUUCUCUCAUAAGCCGAAUUAUGUGUACUACUUAUUUGUUUAUUUUAAGGGUUCCUAUAAAAAAUAAACUAAACAUUUUAACGUCAUAAUACCGGACACAAUUAAUUUGAUAAAUCCUAAAUAUACUAUGUUACUAUGUUAGGCAUUUAUAAUUUUUGGAUAGGUCAUUUGGGUAUAUAGAGACAAAGCCAACAAAUGCUUCAAAAAACCAAUCACGAGUUUUAAUACACUAAAAAACAUUUUCAAUCAAUACACCUAACUGUAUACCUAAUGGAUUAGCAUAGGCCUUAAACUUCCAGGGAUUAAUUUUAAAUCUAAUGAGCAUA